rnacentral:rRNA from 1 species
AUGGUCUGUACAUUAUCAGUUCUACAGGUUUACGUUGAUCAAUGCACACAACUGCAACCGUUAAUUGAAACAACAACAAUGAAGCAUCCUGUUCUUGGCAGUCCUAUGAAGAACAUCAUUAUUCUCAUUGAUCUGCCAUUGCUCUUAGCUUGGAAUUCUGGCGGUUGUGCAUGGACCCUUGAAGAUAUGCAAUAUAUUCCUUGCAACAGUGUGAAUUGUCAUUACAGAGCACCUGGCUGUCUUCACCUGGCUGAGUUCAGAUGCCUAAGAAGGCAUUAUCCCAACUGCAGAAGGCUCGUCGUGGAAACUGAUAUGCAAUAUUAUUUUCAAUGUGUUGCUUGGGAAUUUGCAUGGUCACUUCACUCAGCGUGUUCUUACCCUCUUAUGAAUGGUGACUGUCCUUACCUCACUUCAGGCAUGGCAAGUACUGUACCCUUUCAGUUCAUUGUUUAUGUUGCUAUGAAGAACUUCCGGAGCCUCGAGUUUUGUCAAGGGAAGUUGUCAUGGGAUCCAGGCAUCUGGGCCCUUCUCUAUUUCUUUGGACUUUUCACUCAAGCUGAAGUAACAGGAAAGAGGAAUGUUGCAGCUCCAACUUACUACCACAACCACUACCUCGACGCUUUCUGUGACCAAGUAAACAUCAGCGACAACUACUUCCUUGAGCAGGUAGGCGUCGUCUGCUCCCUCAACCUCACCAAGUUCCGCCUCCACUACGGCACCCACUACGACCUCGGCGAAGUCUUGAAGCAUCAAGUACCAUGGGAUCUAGGAGGUUCGACAUGGCAUCGGCUUCAGGUCAAGCCGAAUUUCAAGGAAGGGGGAAUGUUAGCGACCAACCGUACACUCUUCACGGGCUGGGCCAUUGGUUGCGCCUAUUGGGCCUGGGCUGAUGGGAAGCAACAGAAGGCAGCAACUACAUAUACAAGCGAACGGGCUACGAACGACUCGGCUUGGAUCAGGACGGCUUCGGCCUCCUCUGCUUCUGUCUUCCUCUUCCUCUGUUCGUGUUCCUCUCCUCCUUGUAAUGGCUAG